UCCAUUCAAAAAUCUAAACGAUACCCAAAUUUCUCAAAAAUGAUUCUUCAUCAAACUCAAUUAAAGAACAACAAGUUUGCAUUCAAUCUCAACCAUUAUCAGAUAAAUCCAAACUACAAAUUCAUCCAUCAACCCAAUAACAAGACCUUAGAAACCCAAAUUCCUCAAAACCCAGAAAAAUAAAGCAAAAACAGAAAGAAAAGUAAUCACUUUCCCUCAUUUCAUGGGCAGACAAAACAAAAUGGGGAAUCUGGAGUUGCGAGAUGUUCAUCUGGCGAAGAGAAUGGCGAGCGAGCAGAGAAGGAUGAUGAGGAGACGAGAGAGAGACGAAGCUGGAGUUGAUGAAAAUUUUGCCAGUCUUGAUAAGAUUAUUAUUUAAAGCUUGCACCUUUUCUUCUUCUAAAGAUUAAAGAACUUGUUGGCCGGAGGUUUCUAUACGGAUACACUAACCGAACAAAAAUCCCCAAAUUUCCAUCCAUUUUUCUUUUUCUAUAUGCUUCCAUAACAAUACAUUUUAAUUUUCUCGGAAGAAAAAUCCGCAGUACGCUUUUGUUGCAAUUUCAAAGGAGUUUGAAAGGAAUCUAUUUUCUGGAUCAUGGGUAUGUUGCUCUCCCUCAAAAUCUAUUUCUCUCAGUCCAGAUUUUACAGAAUUCUCAUUGGCCAUAGGAAAGAUGAACGAUUUCGGUUGGUUACAAAGGGAUUCGCAUUGUGGUUCAGAGAGAAGCCUCAUCUUCCUUGAGAUAAUCUGGAUCUGUUUGCCUGUGAAGGAAAUAAAAUUUUUUUUUUUUUUUUUUUGGGGCGAAAAAAAAAAAACGCUGCUGCCUAUGAAGGAAAUAUUAAACGUGAAGAAGAAGAGCUAUUA
rnacentral:lncRNA from 1 species